rnacentral:lncRNA from 1 species
UUUUAUCAGAAGUUGAUUAGAAUCUGUAACAUUUUCUGUAGUUCAGCUGACACACUGAAGAUGUCCUCACUGUGACCAGCCUUGUCAACAGCUGGAUCACAGUGACAUAAGCUGUGUCUAGGAUGAGUCUUGCGGUCUGCAGCCGUGUGAGGCUGCAUCUGAUUCCCAAGUCCAAUGGCUCUCUUCCCGUGUUUACAGAUC